UACGAAGGGGGGCUAGCGUUGUUCGGAAUUACUGGGCGUAAAGCGCACGUAGGCGGAUAUUUAAGUCAGGGGUGAAAUCCCAGAGCUCAACUCUGGAACUGCCUUUGAUACUGGGGUAUCUUGAGUAUGGAAGAGGUAAGUGGAAUUCCGAGUGUAGAGGUGAAAUUCGUAGAUAUUCGGAGGAACACCAGUGGCGAAGGCGGCUUACUGGUCCAUUACUGACGCUGAGGUGCGAAAGCGUGGGGGAGCAAACAGG
rnacentral:rRNA from 1 species